rnacentral:rRNA from 1 species
UACGGGGGGGGCAAGCGUUGUUCGGAAUUACUGGGCGUAAAGGGUUUGUAGGUGGCUUGUUAAGUCAGACGUGAAAUCCCUCAGCUUAACUGGGGAACUGCGUCUGAUACUGGCGAGCUUGAGUGCAGGAGAGGAACGCGGAAUUCCAGGUGUAGCGGUGAAAUGCGUAGAUAUCUGGAGGAACACCGGUGGCGAAGGCGGCUCUCUGGGACGUGACUGACGCUGAGACGCGAAAGCGUGGGGAGCGAACAGG